rnacentral:lncRNA from 1 species
AGCUUAAUCUGGGCUUAAUAUCCUAUUAUGGCAUGAAAUCCCCUAUUUUCCCACUCGGAUGAACAGUAACCCGGACCGACAGCCGGUUACUUCAUCCUGGGUUUGAUCCACUUUCCAGACUUCAAAUUUGAUGAAAUUUUUACCUAACAUUCUACACUCAUAGGGAAUUCCAAAAAGGUAACAUGCAUCACUAUCGGAGGCCGUUUGAUCCCCUAAAUAAUUUGCCAAAGUUGGGACUUUGACACGAUUUUUCCGUAGUGCCGGAAAAAUUUGUCGAAAUCCGAUUCUUCCCCUUUUAACACCCUUUACAACUAUCAUCUACCCUUUCUAUAGCAUAAAUUUUUUAGAUUACUAGGUAGGGAUGGGUAUUUACCUUUUUCUUCUUGUGAAACUUGGGUCCUUGCGUAGAAGGGAAGGAGAUCUACACUUUUCCCUUCAGCUGGCAGCGCAACCGG